ACACUCACACGUUCUGUUUUUGCAGAAAAAAACUUUCCUUUUUCAUUAUCCACACACAUCCACAGAGAUACAGAAAAGAGCAAACAGUGCAAAACAUGGGCGUUGGUCACUUCUAUACAAUAUUUACAUUGCUCAAAUCCCUCAGGCAGGGAAAAGCCAGCCCAGGGUUUUCUUAGGAACUGGACAGUUUUCUUGGAAAACAUAUGCCAAGUGAUCCCAAAAAGAAACCACCCCACUCCUUGCUUGUCCCAGUGGUUUAGGGGUGUGAAUGUCCUGGUGUUUUGCAUGGAAAUUAAAUUUAAGAAUUAAAAUCAAGGACAGCCAGCUGUGUUAAAUGUUAGUCUUAAGUGAUGUUAAAGUGUUAGUUUGAAGUGAUGUUUUCCAGAGGGGAAAAACAGGAACAGCUCCAUGUUUUGUUGUGAAAUGUGAACAUUUUAUAGGGCUUAAAAUCACUGUUUUAAAUCCUGGAAUGGUUUGGGUUGGAAUUGGCCUUAAAGACCUGGGCAGGGACACCUCCCACUAUCCCAGGUUGCUCCAAGCCCCAUCCAGCCUGGCCUGGGACACUUCAGGGAUUUGACAUCGGGCAGAACGAGCCUUUAAACACAGCCAGGUCCUGACAGAGCAAACAGGAAAGGGAGAACAUUCCCAUGAUUGUACCCAGAGAAAAGGAGCUUUGGGCACUCUUGUGGGAAGCAAAGAUGUCCUGGGUAGAUCUUCCUCACCUGCUUGAACCUCCCACAAACCUGAAUUUCUCCAAGUGGCAUCUCCAUGGCGCAGAAUUUCAGGGAAAUUCAGGAGAUAUGUACAAAUGUCACAACAGCAUGAGAGGGAAUGGCCCCAGGUUGUGCCAGGGGACGUUUAGAUCGGAUAUCAGGAAAAAUUCUUUCACCAAAAGGGUUGUCAAGUGCUGAAACAGCAAAGUGAUGGGGUGUCCAUCCCUGGAAGAGUUCAGAAAAUGUGUGGAUGUGACACUUGGGGACAUGGAUUUGUGGUGAACAUGGUAGGGCUGGGUUGAUGGUUGGACUUGAUGAUCUUGGAGGUCUUUCCAACCUUAAUUCCAUGAUUCUAGGGGUGAUUUAUGGUCCUUGGAGUGUCAGAGGGCACACACACAGCUCAGACCAGCCUGGGCUCUGGGGUCAGCCUGGGGGCAGCAUUCAGAAAUAAAAAUUACAGC